rnacentral:piRNA from 1 species
UCCGAUAAUGGGCAGAAGUUGGGUGUCA